UCCUGAGAGCAAAUGACUUGUCUGGAGUGAAGCCUUCCAUUCCAGUGCCACAGAGCUGAGUGAUGAGAUCUAAAGCACAGCUUUGCUGGCGCUGUGUCGCUCCUCUCCAGCACUGAGAGCAAGCAGUGGCCACAAAGCCUGGAGGUGACCUCAUCAAGCUCUAUGGCAGAGAUGGGAAGAUCACCUGAGCCCAGAUCCUUCUGUGCUUCACAAAGUUGUGCACCCAUUCUGCAUUCCUCCAAGUUCAGAAAGGUGGCAAUUUUUUCAUUCUUCAUGUCCUGUAAAAUAAUUGAAGGACAGCCAGGUAGAAAAUGUGACCAAAGAAGCAGAACCUUUGGGAGCAGAGGACAAGGUGAGUGUCUGCAGAGAAGUGAUGGCAGCAGCCUUUCUGUUCCAGGGCUGAGCACAAGGAUGCGAGGGUGAGUCCACUCCAACACUUCUGGGUCUGGGCUGGGGGGAAACUGCACACACUCUGUGCUGGACACUCAUUAUUGAGACAAAUAAAGCCAGCAGGAAGGUAUGGAGUUGAUGGAGAAACACUCCACAGUAUUUGCAAAUUCUAAGAAAAACAAACUACUCAGAAACACUGGUAUGUUCAGUGAAAUUGAUGCUGCAAGCAGGAAAAAAGGGUCUAAAAUGGAGACAGAAGUUUUCUGAGGGGUUAUAGCAGGUGUGGGAAUGGCCUCUAGGCUCUGUGUCUUCCUGCCACUAUCCUUUCUGCCAGUUCACUUAUCUCCUUCUCUCUUUUUGUUUCUGAAAUUGUGUGACCUCCUGUGCAUCCUCACGUGGUCUGACCAAGCCCUAUCCCCUCAUGUCCACAGCAAGUUCCUGCACUUCUUCUGACAAUGAAGACUCCACACCAGCGAAGCCUCCUGUUGGUGAACUCAUCCUUUUGUGUUGUGAGGUGGCUUCAGGGACAUCCCACUGCAUUUACAGUGACAACCCAGGUGAGUUUAGGCUGGGAUGGAAACAGCCCUGGGCCACUUGCUGCAGUCUUUGCUUGAGAGAGCCCAAAGUGAAGGACAGCAAGGUUUUUGUCCUUGCAGGACACAGAAGGACACUUGUGCAUUGGGCUUUGCUAGAUGCUACUCAAAGCGCUUCCCCUUGGCUCCUGCUCUGAACCAGCCCCAGGAGAAGGCUCUUUCUCUUUAGGAACUCCAGGAGAGGCUUUGGGAAUCUUCCUGGUCAAAUCUGACUUCAGCAGCAGGGACUUUGUUGCUAAAAAAUGAUGUCAAUGAAGCCCUGCCUGCAACCUGGAGCAGCAUGAGAGUGGCCAGUGGGGUUUUGUCACAUUUGCAAAGGUUUCUUCACCAGUUCAUGCAGUUUCUCUUCAACUUAGCAGAUCCUCUUCAGCUUUCUGCAGCAAGCAGGUGUCUCUCUAUAUUUCCAGUCUGUGAACUUCAAGAAAUCCUAAAAUAAUUUGUCAUUUUAUAAAUAAGUUAUACAAGCUGCCACUACAAAUCUGUCACCAUGCAGACAGAUGCAAACAUGCGCAGUAUGAGCUGAUGCUGAGAUCAGAAUAAAGGCCAUCUAAAAGCAAUUACACUUCCAGGUAUUAGGCAAACACAAUUAUUUAAAUUGCUAGUCAAAAACAGUUGAUAAAAUAGAUAAUUAAAAAAGAUUGACCUAAAGCUGAUUUUAAAUUAUUCUGUAACAUGCACAUAACUUAUUUAAUUGCUCUCUCAUGACCCAGCUUCUAUUAAAAAGAAAUUUCACCUAGGAAAAAAAUUACAUAUGCAGUGCACGGUGAUUAAAAUAAAUACUUAUUCUCCUGAAUGCUGAAAAUUAUGUGAGAAACUGCAUUAAAAAGUAGGAACAAAUUAGCCCUGCAUUGAAGACCAUAGUGUGGUCUGUCAUUUUAAUAAAUCACACUCAGGUGCUACUAAAAUAGAACAUAUGACAAUGCAUUAGCCCACAGAAAUAGUAGCUGACCUAACAUAUGUAGAUAUAUAAAAAUUAAGCUGAAAAAAAGACAGAAUAAGAUCAGGGAAUCAUUUAGUUUGGGAAAAACCUUUAAGAUUAUGGAGUCCAACCACUAAACCAGCACUGCCAGGCAGAUGCUGAGAUAAUGGGGGCUUUGUUAUUGAGAGUAAAGAGGCUCCUAAAUGACAGUGGAGGUCCUGCCAUGAGCACUGAGCUGGGGGGACAGCAGCUGCUGUGGAGGGAUUGCACUCACACUGCACCAGGCAGAGAAGAGACAAAGAGCAGCAAGAACUGCAGCACAGGCAGGUUAAAGGCCAGGUUUCCAAAUAUAUUUAGUGCAUCUUGAUGAGGAAGGUGGGAACCUUGGAGGAGUCUCAGAUGCUCUUUGUGACCAGCUGGGGUCACCCAAAGAUGAAAAGCAAGUGUGUAGGCCUGAGGCCAAAUUCCUGUCCUCAGUGCUGGAUGUGUGGCCACCUGACUGAGCUGGACACAGCCGGGAUCAGCAGCAACUGCUGGAGAAGAAAAGCAUCUCUUUAUCUAAUUUUGCAAUUAGCACUCCUCCCUGCCUCAUGUGCCACAGGAAUGGCUCACAAACAUGAUUUGUUUGUGCAAUGCUCUUGUAAAAGAAGAAAAUCUUACACUGCCUCUGUUGUAAGAUGAUGAUUCUGAGUUAACUUUUAAUGUCUGGAUGCCCAGCUGGAGCAAAGAAACUGUUGAGACACUGGAACCACAGCACUUUAUACUCAGCUCUGUUGCUUUUGAUCUUCUUCAUUUUGGUUGAUGCUUUUGGGCAAAUAAAAGCACUGACAACAAUACCAUCAAAUGAAAAAUAAGUGAAUUUUGACCUAUGCUUACGAUUUGCAGAAACUGUUUGAAGACAUGACCAGCACCAAAGGACAUUUCUUGAGGAAAAUCCUGCAAGACUCACAUUUUAAUAGCAUGCAGCUCUGCUGGUCUCAUUGCAGAAACAUGAGAGCUUUCAAUUUAAGAUGCUCUCCUGCACACAAAGUACUUCUCCAAACCUGUCACUUCUCAGGAGACCCUUUUUCAGGCAGUCUGCAUUUUAAAAUGAGCAGUUAUGACAGUUUUCCCUGCAAAAGGGGACAAAUUAGUGAAAGCAGAAUAUAUAGGAACUGGGUUACAGUAACAGCUAAACAACAGCAACCUGCUCCUGGGAAAUAACUGGCUUGGAUUUUUGCAGUGACCAUCCAUAGGAAGGAAAGAAAGUCAUGUAGGACUAAACAAGCUUGCCAGCUUUGUGCCUAAAGUAAUGAGCUACAAAAUGGCACAUGCUGAGAUCAUUAAUCCUGAAUUUAUUGACAGGUUUGAAAGCCCUGGGUAGAUAAUUGUUAGAAAUUCAGCUGACAGUGCAGACUGCUUCCUUGUCUAUGGUAUUUUGAAGCCCUCUGCAAUUUUAGAUAUGUUUGUUUUCCUGUGAUGUCUCUGAGACAGGGUGAAGAGGAUCCCAUUUUUGGGAAGGGGAUAUUGAAGCUCACAGGCAGGUAUGCUGGAAAAUGAGUUGAAACCAAAUUUUCACUGGCUGACCUCCAUGCCCCUUCCUCCCCCUUUUGCAGACCACUGCACUUGCAGAGUGGACACAGCUAAUUUCAUAUUGCAGGUUUUUUACAUGAAUUCAAGGCUCAGUCUGUGACUUACUGAGCACCACUAGAAUGGAAUGGUUAGGAAGGAGCUUUUUUACUAAUCUGCUUUUAGAGUCCAAUUUUCACAUCUGAGUCUUAUGAUAGGAGAUCAAAGUCCCUCAUUAGGGGACUGAAUCCAAUAUUUAAUACACUUAAUGCCACUUUAUAUACUCACAAGAUAGGCUGGUUUCUGUAUAAAACAACAUUCGAGCUCCUUGUGACACUUAAUGAAGGGACAGAAGGGGUGUUUUAAGCCCUCAUUUUCCAUGCUGUUACAUGGUGGUGGAGCAGGACUGACUUCAGUAGUUAGCAUGUCAUACAAGCAGCCUGUCAAAAGUAGGAUCAGUCUCCUCUGCUUGCCAUGAGGGGAUACAGAAGUAUCCUUAUUAAUGCAUGUGUCUUUCAAAAACUGCUGUGAUAUCCUGCAUUCCAACAUCUUUGGAACAUCCUGGACUUGGGGAAUGUCAAAACUCAGGAUUUGAGUGCACACUGUUGCUCUGUAAAUGGUAUUGGAACUGAUUAACCUAUCAAUCUCUAUUAUCCAGCUACUGGAAACAAGACACAUCCUUCUCCUGGGGAUUUACCUGGAGUGAGAUCAAAAGGAAGCUGCUUUCUCCCCUUCCUGCAUAAAGGUUCAAAAUUUGUUUUGACUAGUGAUGUUGAAAAUAAAUAAAUAUAUCAUGUGACCUGAAUAACUCAAGUGAUUCCCUCGUGACUAAGGCGGGAAGUGUUUGAAACAUGAAAAGUU